rnacentral:rRNA from 1 species
GACGAACGCUGGCGGCGUGCCUAAUACAUGCAAGUCGAACGCUGAAGGAGGAGCUUGCUCUUCUGGAUGAGUUGCGAACGGGUGAGUAACGCGUAGGUAACCUGCCUGGUAGCGGGGGAUAACUAUUGGAAACGAUAGCUAAUACCGCAUAAGAGUAGAUGUUGCAUGACAUUUGCUUAAAAGGUGCAAUUGCCUCACUACCAGAUGGACCUGCGUUGUAUUAGCUAGUUGGUGGGGUAACGGCUCACCAAGGCGACGAUACAUAGCCGACCUGAGAGGGUGAUCGGCCACACUGGGACUGAGACACGGCCCAGACGCCUACGGGAGGCAGCAGGAGGGAAUCUUCGGCAAUGGACGGAAGUCUGACCGAGCAACGCCGCGUGAGUGAAGAAGGGUUUCGGAUCGUAAAGCUCGGUUGUAAGAGAAGAACGAGUGUGAGAGUGGAAAGUUCACACUGUGACGGUAGCUUAACAGAAAGGGACGGCUAACUACGUG